GAGCGAAUUGAUGGGAGCUUGCUCCCUGAUAUUAGCGGCGGACGGGUGAGUAACACGUGGGUAACCUGCCUGUAAGAUUGGGAUAACUCCGGGAAACCGGAGCUAAUACCGGAUAAUAUGUUGAACCGCAUGGUUCAACAUUGAAAGAUGGCUUUUGCUAUCACUUACAGAUGGACCCGCGGCGCAUUAGCUAGUUGGUGAGGUAACGGCUCACCAAGGCGACGAUGCGUAGCCGACCUGAGAGGGUGAUCGGCCACACUGGGACUGAGACACGGCCCAGACUCCUACGGGAGGCAGCAGUAGGGAAUCUUCCGCAAUGGACGAAAGUCUGACGGAGCAACGCCGCGUGAACGAUGAAGGCCUUCGGGUCGUAAAGUUCUGUUGUUAGGGAAGAACAAGUACCAGAGUAACUGCUGGUACCUUGACGGUACCUAACCAGAAAGCCACGGCUAACUACGUGCCAGCAGCCGCGGUAAUACGUAGGUGGCAAGCGUUGUCCGGAAUUAUUGGGCGUAAAGCGCGCGCAGGUGGUUUCUUAAGUCUGAUGUGAAAGCCCACGGCUCAACCGUGGAGGGUCAUUGGAAACUGGGGAACUUGAGUGCAGAAGAGGAAAGUGGAAUUCCAAGUGUAGCGGUGAAAUGCGUAGAGAUUUGGAGGAACACCAGUGGCGAAGGCGACUUUCUGGUCUGUAACUGACACUGAGGCGCGAAAGCGUGGGGAGCGAACAGGAUUAGAUACCCUGGUAGUCCACGCCGUAAACGAUGAGUGCUAAGUGUUAGAGGGUUUCCGCCCUUUAGUGCUGCAGCAAACGCAUUAAGCACUCCGCCUGGGGAGUACGGUCGCAAGACUGAAACUCAAAGGAAUUG
rnacentral:rRNA from 1 species